GACGAACGCUGGCGGCGUGCCUAAUACAUGCAAGUAGAACGCUGAAGGAGGAGCUUGCUUCUCUGGAUGAGUUGCGAACGGGUGAGUAACGCGUAGGUAACCUGCCUGGUAGCGGGGGAUAACUAUUGGAAACGAUAGCUAAUACCGCAUAAUAGCAGUUGUUGCAUGAUAACUGUUUGAAAGGUGCAAUUGCACCACUACCAGAUGGACCUGCGUUGUAUUAUCUAGUUGGUGGGGUAACGGCUCACCAAGGCGACGAUACAUAGCCGACCUGAGAGGGGGAUCGGCCACACUGGGACUGAGACACGGCCCAGACUCCUACGGGAGGCAGCAGUAGGGAAUCUUCGGCAAUGGACGGAAGUCUGACCGAGCAACGCCGCGUGAGUGAAGAAGGUUUUCGGAUCGUAAAGCUCUGUUGUAAGAGAAGAACGAGUGUGAGAGUGGAAAGUUCACACUGUGACGGUAUCUUACCAGAAAGGGACGGCGAACUACGUGC
rnacentral:rRNA from 1 species